AUACGGAGGAUCCGAGCGUUAUCCGGAUUUAUUGGGUUUAAAGGGUGCGCAGGCGGGAGAUUAAGUCGGCGGUGAAAUUUUGCAGCUCAACUGUAAAAGUGCCUUCGAUACUGGUUUUCUUGAGGGUGGAUGAAGUAGGCGGAAUUUGUGGUGUAGCGGUGAAAUGCUUAGAUAUCACGAGGAACUCCGAUUGCGCAGGCAGCUUACUAAACCACUACUGACGCUCAGGCACGAAGGCGUGGGGAUCAAACAGGAUUAGAUACCCUGGUAGUCCACGCAGUAAACGAUGAUUACUGGCUGUUUGCGAUACAAUGUAAGCGGCUGAGCGAAAGCGUUAAGUAAUCCACCUGGGGAGUACGUUCGCAAGAAUGAAACUCAAAGGAAUUGACGGGG
rnacentral:rRNA from 1 species